rnacentral:rRNA from 1 species
CCUACGGGAGGCAGCAGUAGGGAAUAUUGGUCAAUGGGCGGAAGCCUGAACCAGCCAUGCCGCGUGCAGGAUGACGGCCUUCUGGGUUGUAAACUGCUUUUAUACAGGAAGAAAACGGUCAUGCGUGACAGAUUGACGGUACUGUAUGAAUAAGCACCGGCUAACUCCGUGCCAGCAGCCGCGGUAAU